UACGUAGGGUGCGAGCGUUAAUCGGAAUUACUGGGCGUAAAGCGUGCGCCGGCGGUUUUGUAAGCCAGGUGUGAAAUCCCCGGGCUCAACCUGGGAAUGGCAUUUGGGACUGCAAGGCUGGAGUGCGGCAGAGGAGACUGGAAUUCCUGGUGUAGCAGUGAAAUGCGUAGAUAUCAGGAGGAACACCGAUGGCGAAGGCAGGUCUCUGGGCUGACACUGACGCUCAUGCACGAAAGCGUGGGGAGCAAACAGG
rnacentral:rRNA from 1 species